CCAUGUUGGUAUGUUUAAACGAUUGGGUCAGAAAGUAGAACCGAAAAUGAAAUCCUACAGUUUAUAGGUUCCGUGGAAGAAACCUACAACAUGUUUGAGCUGGAAAACAAUCUGGGAAAAUACAGAAAGGGAUCAAGCACACACUGUAUACAUGAUUAAGCCAUUCACAGGAAGAAGUCUGUCUUGGGACUCAGAGUACACUGCUAUACAGUCAUAUCUAGUCUCAGAUUCAAUCUGUCUGUGGACACGUUUGUUUAACAGUACCUUCACUGGCAGAUUAUAUCUGUCUGUGGAAAUAUCUUGUUUGAUUUUAGUGACUUUUUCAUUUCAAAUGACAAGGAGCGUAGUCAACCUAGAAAUGCAUGUGCCUUCACAGAUUCCAUACCUACAUAGACAUAAACACAAGACUAGCUCUCUCUGCUCAUUGUAGCAUAAAAGGUGCUAUUGAACUAACAUUACUAUCAUAUUAUUACAUAUAAAAUACAUUUCAGAGAAGUGGAUGUGUGAAAGUGGAUGUGAGUGCCUCAGGGAUGAAGGAGAGAAAAGAGAGGCAGAGCAGUAGAGGCAGAGCAGUAGAGGUAGAGCAGUAGAGGCAGAGCGGUAGAGCAGUAGAGGCAGAGCAGUAGAGGCAGAGCAGUAGAGGUAGAGCAGUAGAGGCAGAGCAGUAGAGGCAGAGCAGUAGAGGCAGAGCAGUAGAGGCAGAGCAGUAGAGGUAGAGCAGUAGAGGAAGUGGCAGAGCAGUAGAAGAAGUGCAGUAGAGGUAGUGCAGUAGAAGUAGAGGUAGAGCUGUAGAGGAAGAGGUAGUGCAGUAGAAGUAGAGCAGUAGAGGAAGAGGUAGUGCAUUAGAGGAAGAGGUAGUGCAGUAGAAGUAGUGCGGCAGAGGUUGAGCAGUAGAGGAAGAGGUAGAGCACUAGAGGAAGAGGUAAUGCAGAAGAGGUAGAGCAGUAGAGGUAGAGCAGUAGAGGAAGAGGUAGUGCAGUAGGGGAAGAGGUAGAGCAGUAGAGGAAGAGGUAGUGCAGAAGAGGUAGAGCAGUAGAGGAAGAGGUAGAGCAAUAGAAGUAGUGCAGUAGAGGAGAAGAGGUAGAGCAGUAAAAGUAGUGCGGUAGAGGUAGGGCAGUAGAGGAAGAGGUAGUGCAGUAGAGGAAGACGUAGAGGUAGUGCAGUAGAGGUAGAGCAGUAGAGGAAUAGGUAGAGCAGUAGAGGAAGAGAUAAUGCAGUAGAGGUAGUGCAGUAGAAGUAAUGCAGUAGAGGUAGUGCAGUAGAGGUAGUGCAGUAGAGGUAGUGCAGUAGAGGUAGAGCAGUAGAAGUAGUGCAGUAGAAGUAGUGCAGUAGAAGUAGUGCAGUGGAGGUAGUGCAGUAGAGGAAGAGGUAGAGCAGUAGAGGAAGAGGUAGUGCAGUAGAGGUAGAACAGUAGAGGUAGAGCAGUAGAGGUAGUGCAGUAGAGGUAGAGCGGUAGAGCAGUAGAGGUAGUGCAGUAGAGGUAGUGCAGUAGAGGGAGUGGGGUAGAAGUUGAGCAGUAGAAGUAAUGCAGUAGAGGUAGUGCAGUAGAGGUAGUGCAGUAGAAGUAGAGCAGUACAAGUAGUGCAGUAAAAGUAGUGCAGUAGAGGUAGUGCAGUAGAAGUAGAGCAGUAUAAGUAGUGCAGUAGAGGUAGUGCAGUAGAAGUAGUGCAGUAGAUGUAGUGCAGUGAAAGUGGUGCAGUGGAGGUAGUGCAGUAGAAGUAGUGCAGUAGAGGUAGAGCAGUAGAGGAAGAGGUAGUGCAGUAGAGGAAGACGUAGAGGUAGUGCAGUAGAGGAAGACGUAUAGGUAGUGCAGUAGAAGUAGUGCAGUAGAGGUAGUGCAGUAGAGGAAGAGGUAGAGCAGUAGAGGAAGAGGUAAUGCAGUAGAGGUAGUGCAGUAGAAGUAGUGCAGUAGAGGUAGUGCAGUAGAAGUAGUGCAGUAGAGGAAGAGGUAGAGCAGUAGAGGAAGUGCAGUAGAAGUAGAGCAGUACAAGUAGUGCAGUAAAGGUAGUGCAGUAGAGGUAGAGCAGUAGAAGUAGUGCAGUAGAGGUAGUGCAGUAGAAGUAGUGCAGUAGAGGUAGUGCAGUAGAAGUAGUGCAGUAGAGGUAGUGCAGUAGGAGGUAGUGCAGUAGAGGUAGAGCAGUAGAGGAAGAGGUAGUGCAGUAGAGGAAGAUGUAGAGGUAGUGCAGUAGAGGUAGAGCAGUGGAGGUAGAGCAGUAGAGGAAGAGGUAAUGCAGUAGAGGUAGAGCAGUAGAAGUAAUGCAGUAGAGGUAGUGCAGUAGAAGUAGAGCAGUACAAGUAGUGCAGUAAAGGUAGUGCAGUAGAGGUAGUGCAGUAGAAGUAGUGCAGUAGAGGUAGUGCAGUAGAAGUAGUGCAGUAGAGGCAGUGCAGUGGAGGUAGUGCAGUAGAGGUAGAGCAGUAUAGGAAGAGGUAGAUCAGUAGAGGAAGAGGUAGAGCAGUAGAGGAAGAGGUAGUGCAGUAGAGGAAGACGUAGAGGUAGUGCAGUAGAGGUAGAGCAGUAGAGGUAGUGCAGUAGAAGUAGAG